CAAGGUUCCACCUUUAGUUACUAGCUGUGUAAACUUGGGCAAGUCAUUUAAUCUCUCAGCUUCAGUUUCCUCAUCUGUAAAAGGAGACAUGGAGAACAGCUGAUCAAUAUCUCCUCAUAAUAAUCCCCUGAACACCUGAAGACAGCUGUGAGAGCUUAAAGAUUUGCUGAGGCUAAUCUGAACACAGGUCAUUCUUGGCUUUUGUGUGGCAAAAGGAUUGGAAAGGAGCUAAAGAUGGAAAAGAAGGAGGC